rnacentral:rRNA from 1 species
AGUGAACGCUGGCGGUAGGCCUAACACAUGCAAGUCGAACGGCAGCACAGUAAGAGCUUGCUCUUACGGGUGGCGAGUGGCGGACGGGUGAGGAAUACAUCGGAAUCUACUUUUUCGUGGGGGAUAACGUAGGGAAACUUACGCUAAUACCGCAUACGAUCUACGGGUGAAAGCAGGGGAUCUUCGGACCUUGCGCGAUUGAAUGAGCCGAUGUCGGAUUAGCUAGUUGGCGGGGUAAAGGCCCACCAAGGCGACGAUCCGUAGCUGGUCUGAGAGGAUGAUCGGCCACACUGGAACUGAGACACGGUCCAGACUCCUACGGGAGGCAGCAGUGGGGAAUAUUGGGCAAUGGGCGCAAGCCUGAUCCAGCCAUACCGCGUGGGUGAAGAAGGCCUUCGGGUUGUAAAGCCCUUUUGUUGGGAAAGAAAAGCAGCAGGUUAAUACCCCGCUGUUCUGACGGUACCCAAUGAAUAAGCACCGGCUAACUUCGUG